CUUGUGGCGUCAGAAACAGCCUCCUGCGAGACUCUGCACUUGCUGAACGUGCGCGAGCGAUUGGCGCAUGCUCAGUAGCAAGUCUGGAAGCCGUUGCUCACACUCUGCCCUGACCCUCAGUUUCUGCUCCCUGAGCGAAGGGCGGGAGAAGAGCGGGGCCAAAAAGCGGAGAGAAUUCUGUGUAGCAUCCAUCACCAUACCAUCUGAGACACCAAUCCUUCAAACACUUAUGAAUGUUCCUAAUGUUAUGCAUGACCUAUUGAGGUCCCUUCCAGUCCCAUGAUUCUAUACAGGUCUAGUUGCAGAGCUUCAAUGACUGCCACUGCCACAGUAGCUGGUGAUGCUGUGAUGAAGAUGAGACAAACAAGAAGGAAGAAUGGAUGAUGCAGAAAGUACAUAAAAAUUGCAAGGUGCUGUUGGCAUUCGCUGACGAGGUCCACGUGGUCGAGUGGCACUUCUGGGCCCAUGAAAUGGGGCUGAAGUGGUGGGACUAUAUUGUGAGGCAGAUCUGAGAUGAGCAGUAGUUGCUGUAGAACUUUCAAAUACAAAGGCCACUUUCCUAGGGUUGUGUGGUGAGCUCGUCUUAGCCCUCAAUUGCAGAGACAUCAGAAUGAGAGCUGCUUUGACCAUAGAAAAGAGGGUGGUGAUUGUGCUCUAGAAGUGUGCAAUCCCAGGCUGCUAUUAGUCCAUGGUGGGGACGUUUGUCAU